rnacentral:rRNA from 1 species
GCCUUUUGGAUAAUGAGCCUACGAGUUGUUUCUGUCCGGCGAGGUUAAGUGCUUAAGGCACGUGAGCCGAAGCGAGAGCGAGUCUGAAAAGGGCGUUUAGUCGGACGGAACAGACGCGAAACCUAGUGAUCUACCCUUGGCCAGGAUGAAGGUGCCGUAACAGGCACUGGAGGUCCGAACCAGUUUCCGUUGAAAAGGAUUUGGAUGAGCUGAGGGUAGGGGUGAAAGGCUAAUCANNAGGCUAAUCAAACUGGGAGAUAGCUCGUACUCCCCGAAAUGUCUUUAGGGACAGCCUCACGAGAGCUUUCUGGAGGUAAAGCUACUGAUAGGAUGCGAGGGCUUCAUCGCCUAUCAAAUCCUGACAAACUCUGAAUGCCGGAAAGUGAUUCGUGGGAGUGAGUCGCCGGGUGCUAAUGUCCGGUGGCAAAAGGGAAAGAGCCCAGACCAACAGUUAAGGCCCCUAAACGUGGUUUAAGUUGAGAGAACGGAGUGACAUCGCAGAGACAGCUAGGAUGUUAGCUUGGAAGCAGCUAUUCAUUUAAAGAGUGCGUAACAGCUCACUAGUCGAGCGGCGUUGCAUGGAUGAUAAACGGGCAUCAAGACCACUGCCGAAACUAUGGACUCGAAAAUGAGUGGUAGGGGAGCAUUCCAGUCGGCUGUGAAGGUGUACUGUAAGGUAUGCUGGAGCGGUUGGAAAAGAAGAUGUAGGCAUAAGUAACGAUAAUGCGGGAGAGAAACCCGCACACCGAAAACCCAAGGUUUCCUGAACAACGUUAAUCGGAUCAGGGUUAGUCGGGGCCUAAGGGGAAGCCGAAAGGCGGACCUGAUGGACAAAUGGUUAAUAUUCCAUUACCUGAUGUUAUACGGCAAGGAGGGACGGAGAAGUGACACGCGCGCCAUCUUACGGAAUAGAUGGUUAAAGGAAUUAGGUAUAUGGGCUGGUUAAGAGCUGGUCCGUGCCGAGGUCUGACAGUACGCCGAGUCUUCGGACGAGGUGACAGACGCGGUAAGCAGACUCCCAAGAAAAGCUUCGUGCCUGGAGUAGCAUCAGCCCGUACCGUAAACCGACACAGGUGGGUGAGGAGAGGAUCCUCAGGUGCUCGAGUGAAUCAUGGCUAAGGAACUAGGCAAAUUGACCCCGUAACUUCGGGAUAAGGGGACCCUAUUUCGGUAGGGCGCAGAGAAAUGGCUCAGGCGACUGUUUACCAAAAACACAUGGCUUUGCAAAUUCGAAAGAAAAAGUAUAAGGCCUGACACCUGCCCGGUGCUGGAAGGUUAAGAGGGGGUGUUAGCGGAAGCAAUGAAGCGAGGCACUGAAUCGAAGCCCCAGUAAACGGCGGCCGUAACUAUAACGGUCCUAAGGUAGCGAAAUUCCUUGUCGGGUAAGUUCCGACC